rnacentral:rRNA from 1 species
UACAGGCUUAACACAUGCAAGUCGAGGGGCAGCAUGGUCUUAGCUUGCUAAGGCCGAUGGCGACCGGCGCACGGGUGAGUAACACGUAUCCAACCUGCCGUCUACUCUUGGACAGCCUUCUGAAAGGAAGAUUAAUACAAGAUGGCAUCAUGAGUCCGCAUGUUCACAUGAUUAAAGGUAUUCCGGUAGACGAUGGGGAUGCGUUCCAUUAGAUAGUAGGCGGGGUAACGGCCCACCUAGUCUUCGAUGGAUAGGGGUUCUGAGAGGAAGGUCCCCCACAUUGGAACUGAGACACGGUCCAAACUCCUACGGGAGGCAGCAGUGAGGAAUAUUGGUCAAUGGGCGAGAGCCUGAACCAGCCAAGUAGCGUGAAGGAUGACUGCCCUAUGGGUUGUAAACUUCUUUUAUAAAGGAAUAAAGUCGGGUAUGGAUACCCGUUUGCAUGUACUUUAUGAAUAAGGAUCGGCUAACUCCGUGCCAGCAGCCGCGGUAAUACGGAGGAUCCGAGCGUUAUCCGGAUUUAUUGGGUUUAAAGGGAGCGUAGAUGGAUGUUUAAGUCAGUUGUGAAAGUUUGCGGCUCAACCGUAAAAUUGCAGUUGAUACUGGAUAUCUUGAGUGCAGUUGAGGCAGGCGGAAUUCGUGGUGUAGCGGUGAAAUGCUUAGAUAUCACGAAGAACUCCGAUUGCGAAGGCAGCCUGCUAAGCUGCAACUGACAUUUGAGGCUCGAAAGUGUGGGUAUCAAACAGGAUUAGAUACCCUGGUAGUCCACACGGUAAACGAUGAAUACUCGCUGUUUGCGAUAUACAGCAAGCGGCCAAGCGAAAGCGUUAAGUAUUCCACCUGGGGAGUACGCCGGCAACGGUGAAACUCAAAGGAAUUGACGGGGGCCCGCACAAGCGGAGGAACAUGUGGUUUAAUUCGAUGAUACGCGAGGAACCUUACCCGGGCUUAAAUUGCAGAUGAAUUACGGUGAAAGCCGUAAGCCGCAAGGCAUCUGUGAAGGUGCUGCAUGGUUGUCGUCAGCUCGUGCCGUGAGGUGUCGGCUUAAGUGCCAUAACGAGCGCAACCCUUGUUGUCAGUUACUAACAGGUUCCGCUGAGGACUCUGACAAGACUGCCAUCGUAAGAUGUGAGGAAGGUGGGGAUGACGUCAAAUCAGCACGGCCCUUACGUCCGGGGCUACACACGUGUUACAAUGGGGGGUACAGAGGGCCGCUACCACGCGAGUGGAUGCCAAUCCCCAAAACCUCUCUCAGUUCGGACUGGAGUCUGCAACCCGACUCCACGAAGCUGGAUUCGCUAGUAAUCGCGCAUCAGCCACGGCGCGGUGAAUACGUUCCCGGGCCUUGUACACACCGCCCGUCAAGCCAUGGGAGCCGGGGGUACCUGAAGUGCGUAACCGCGAGGAGCGCCCUAGGGUAAAACUGGUGACUGGGGCUAAGUAAU